rnacentral:lncRNA from 1 species
AAAUAUCAGCAUUUAUUACAUCAAAUACAACAUACUACAUUUUGUGUGUGUGUGUGUGUGUGUGUUUUUGGAAUAUAGCUAUCUUUACACAUCUUCAGUGCUUGGUUUUAUACUAUUAUGGGUAUAACAUUACAAAAAAACCCUAGAUGCCCAAAUUUUAAAAUGCAUUUGACAUAUUAGUAAAGAAAAAAUAGACGAAAAAAGUUUCAUCAGUUAGCCUUACCAAAAUGUAUUUUGAUUACAUGAAAAUUUUAUUUGUGUAAGAUUGCCAAAAUGACAUUGACAAUGACAACGUAUAAAGAACAUGGAACUUGUUAUGAGGAAAAUAAAACGUUGAUUAGAAACAUCUAUCUACUGGAUGGUUAUAACUAGAGCCCAGAUUUAUACACAAUAAAAAUCCUCAAAUAUGCAUUUAAGAUCCACUAAAAAAAACCUAAAAAAUAUGCAAUAUUAUACUAACAAACCUUCAGAUAUGUCAUAUGCACUAAAAAUGUUAACAUAUGCAGGAUACCUGAUUAAUAAUUAACUUUUUUUUAUACUAGACAUUUUUUGGUUUAGUACAUAUUCAUUUUGAAAGGAAAUAGAACAGAAAAGUUUCAGUGUCACAACAAAAUCAAAUAAUUUAAAAUAUUGUACAAAAUAAAUAAUUUAGUUUAAGUUCAUGAUCUGAACUAAAUUGACAAUAAUAUACAUUUCAAAGUUAGUUUCUGUAAAACUACAGCGUUUAUCUCUCAAAAAAUAUUUGUGCUUUGAAAAAAUCUUUUCAACGUUGACAGAGGUAAUGGGAGCAGACUUGUGUACUUCCUGCAGAACAAGUUGCUUACAUUUAAGAUUUCAGUCAAUCUGGUAUUUUUGACAAGGAUGCUUUUUAAUUUAAUUUGUAAUAUAAUUAAAAGAGGAUUGACGUUGAUUAUUUUUGUGUUUCGAAUGGGGCCUCUAUUUCAUUCCACAACCUGACUACUUAAGAAAUAUUAAUUUUUCAAGAAAGGAAAAAAACUGCACCGUGAAGUUUUGGAAAUGCCAAUUAUUUCGUUUGCUCCUGGAAAGUUAAUGGAAGUCCAAAUCAAAUUUUAGGUACUUGUCUUUUUCUUCUCAUGCUCUUUAGUUUCCUGGUUUAUUUUUCUAAGUAAUCAAAAAUUAUUAAAAUGUGUAAUGUUAUUCAAAAAUGCAAAUUUCAAUAUUCUUCAAAUAUGAAAAAAUAUGCAGGAUAAAAUUAGAACCAGUGUACCACGGAGGCAUGAUUUGGAUAAAAUCACCACGGUUGUAAAUGUUUACAAAAAAUAUGAGAUUGACUAAAAAUCUAGGCUGUAGUUAUAACAAUUAAUAAAUAUAAAUGUUAAAAAUAAAAGCAGAUAUCAGAGACAUAAAAAAAGCUUUUAUAUUAUAACACAGAAAGUAAUAAGGACAUCAGGUAAUUUGUAAAGAUACUAAGAAUCAAGAUGUAGAGAUAUUGUGUAAAACGUAUCAACAGUGUAUAACAAAUGAAAUAAUUAUCUCAAUAUAAUUGGUAUCAGCCUUUAAUAUUGUAAUUUUUAAUUAAAAAACAGUGAUAGGUCAAUUUGAAAAAAGAAAGAAAAACACUGUUUCUUUGUAAAACAUUUGAAGAUUAAACACCCUUCAUCUGAAGUUUAAAACUAUUAUUAUUAAUUCAUAAGUUUAACAAAAAUGAACAUCUUACGAUACUGAAACUUAUAUUGAAUUUCUGAGUUGAUAGCGGAACACGAUCUACAACCCUCCAUUCUAAAUCAGAAUCUAUUUACUAUCACUGUUUCAAUUAUGCCAUGCAAAUUGAAAAAAGUUUAUUAAAUCAUUUUUUCCUAAGAUAUAUUUUUCUUUUCAUAGAUUAUGAAAAAAAAUUAAUUAUACAGAGAAUUAUAUUUUACAGUAUUUUUGGCAAACUGAAAAUGUUUGUUUACAUAUAGUUAUAGUUUUGAGUGUGAUAAUUUUUUCGUUAAUUAGUUAUUAGCUAUUAAAGCUAUUAAAGAACUAAACUUCCAAUGAAAGCUCCUGUCUUAAAGAAAGGUAGAAGUUAUUAGGAAACUAUAUUUAUUAUAUAGUUAUUGGUAUCAUUUGGCAAUAUUUUUGGAAAAUAAUUCACGCAAAAGUUCUGAAAUGUGAUUUUUAACGUUCAAAACCAUUUCUUACAUGUUUUCUAGCGGAAAAUUACCGCACAGCCAUUGACGAAAAUGAAGAUGAUCCAGGAGAAAAUCAAUUUAUAUUUAGAUUGGCAAGCCGCCCUCAGCAGUGUCGAGAAUUAAUGACUUCCGGGUAGGUCGUCCUUCUAACACUUCUUCCUUGGACCUAGUAAUUACGAUUCAGCGGAUUUCGAUUUUUAAAGUCUUCGUGCUUAACUGCUCGUCCAGACUCAAUGUCAAUGUAAAAAAAGAGAUCAGACAAGCAUCCUAUUAGAAAACAAGUUCUACUUCGGAGAAAGUGAACAGGAUUAUCUGUGUUAAAUUCUUGGGUAGGAGGGUAGUCAAACUAAAACAUAUGUACAUCCAAAACGAAAAAAUAAAGUCUAAAGUCUCAAAAGACUCGUUUAGUAAAUAUAAUUUAUUUAUAAAGUAGGGAGAUUUUAGCAUUUAGGAUUUUUUUCUUCCCCAGAUGCAUUUUUACUUACUUAAAAUUUCUUCCACGCAAAUAUCUAAAAUUGAUCAAGAAAUUUAGAACCGUAAUCGUUAGUUGAAAAACGUCGAAAACUGGUUUACAAUUACUUUGGGUGGACGAUACAUCGGAAAAAUAAAAAAGCAAUUAGACCUAAAUAAUGGCCAAGCUUUGAAAAGCUAGACGGAAAACUUUUCGAUUUGGCGAAAUUCAGUAGAGACCCGACGAUUCAAACCCAUAAAAAUAAAUCAAAACGAAUUAAGUCCAUUUCCGGACAAAGCAGGUUUAUCCGGCGUCCUAUAAUGUAUUAAAGAUAGACGUGCUCGACCUACAUAUGUAUAAAAAAUUAACUUUAGUUUGGGGUAAAAUAACGACGUCAAAAAUUUGGUUGGGAGAGGCCCAAUUAAAUAUUUGUACGGAAUGUCAAUUUAGGAUCGUAUUUGAAAAAUUCGUAUUUGAAUUAGCCUGGAGCAUUGUGUUUUCUAACGGGAAUUAAAUCAGACUUGACACCAGGAAGAUUUCCUAAGUUAUUUGCCUUAUUAAUCACAGGAAUAUAAUAAUUUACCAGGUCUUAACUCAAGAAUAACAAAGUGCAACAAAGAUUUAUGAGAAUACUAAAGUUACAUGGAAUUCUUCUACCUAAAACUGCACCAAAUAUCUAGACCGCAUAAAAGAGAAAUUUUAUCUGGUUUACCAGACUAUUGACCUAAAAAACAACCUCAACAGGUUUAUUCGAUGCUAUUAAUUAUAAAUUGGAUGAAAUAGUUUCGCGUAAAAAAUUAGAUAUUUGUAUUUUUGUAUAAAUUACGUAUACAAUAGGCUUAUUCGUUAAAAAAUUAAUUUACCAGGUGUAUAUAAAUUUUAUUUACAAGUUUGUCCAAAAGCCUUCUAGCUACGAUCAUAUUUAGUUUGGUCGUUUCCGAUCAUUUUUUUGUUCUUCCUUUAUUCAUUGUUUUGUCAGAUGUUAAUCGGCCGCUAGCUAUCCUUAGUGAAGGCCAAUCAGAAAGGAUGGCCAGACUAAAAAACUGCUGUCAAGCUUCAUGGAAUGUGAAAGUUGCUUUCCAUGUUUAACCAAGUAAAUGAAUUUUUCAUGCAUUAAUGAAAAAAUCAAACUUGUAUUUUUGUGGGAACUUUGUGAUCUGAAUUGUGGCGAAUCCGUGGUUUGAUCGCUUCCGAUCAUUUCAUCUGACUGCUUUCGAUGUUGUUUUGCGUUUCCGCAACUCGCCUCUUCAGUGAUCAGAGAUAGUGCCUCACCCUGCUUAUAACCCUGAUGUACCACUCAUGAUGGCGAUAUGCCAAAACGCAUCUGGCAGACGAAAACAGCAAGGAUAUGCAGAACAAGAGUUCGUCCUCACCGACUUCGAGAAGAAAUCUUACAACCAAACCAAUUUUUUUUUCUUUUUUUUUGCCGGCUCACAGGCCGGCGCCCCACAUCGCCUGCUCACAUUUGUCUUCUUUGCUAUCUUAUCUUUUCUGAGUCUUCUUAUGCCCACCUAAUAGGAGAUUCGUUAUCUUGUUUGUUGUUACCCUCCCACACGUGAUAAAUUAAAAUCACACUAAUAAAUACAUUCAAACGGUAUUUAAAAAAUUCCACUCAUACACUAAACUAUCCUAAUCUAAAUUGUUUGACGGGCCUGUGGAGUACUCGUUAUUCUUCGACAGCCAUGUCCUUUCACGCAUUACCAAUCACGCUAAUAAAUACAUUCAUUCAGGACAGGCCACUACACCUCGGAAGAUAGUACCAACGAAAUGCCAAUGACCCGUCCCCCGUACUUGAUAUUCCGUCACAGCCACACCCAAGCAUACUUAGACAUUCACGCAAAUAAAUACAUUCUUACAAAUAGGGGGGAUAUACCACGUGUAUAUAGCCAUACGCAUUGAUUAAUUUUAGGUAAUCAGUGACCUUUCGUUUAUAAUUUCUGUUGUGCUUUUAAGUACUUUUGUUAUGUCAUUGGGAAGGCCACAUUGCGGCGCUAGUUGUUCGCAUUCUUCUAAAAUAUGUCUUACUGUUACAGUUGCGCCGCACAUGGGGCAUUUCCUCGGUAUCUUGCCGAUGAGAUGUCCAUGUGUUAGGCGGGUAUGGCCUAUCCUUAAUCGUGUAAGUACAAUUCUUUCUUUCUGAAAAUUUCAUGGAUUUCAGGUUUGACUGUCGGUUUUAUCACCUUUAGUUUUUCAUUCAGGGCGUUCCAUCUGUUUUGCCAUUCAUUCCAGCUUAAUUGUUUCAAGGAAUUUUUAAUAUCCGCCGGUCUAACCAGAGUGUCCGGGUCAUGCGGCAUUUUCGAUGCUUCUUUCGCCGCUUUGUCGGCCUCUUCGUUUCCUUUAAGGCCGACGUGACCCGGAAUCCAGAGGAAGAUAAUUUCGCACUUAUUUUCUGCUAAUAUAUUCACGUUUUUAUAAACUGUUCACACUAAUGGGUUCACAGAAAUUUUUUUUUGUAUGGCUGAAACUGCACUUAAGGAAUCUGUGCAAACUGCGAAUUUUUUAUCCGGCAGGUUAAUAUCUUGUCUUAGUGCAGAUGAUAUGGCGGUCAUUUAUGCUGUGUAUAUGCUGGCCGUACUCGGGAGAGCGAUCUGUAUGCUGCGUUCCUGUAUAUAAAUCCCGCAGCCUACCCCACCGGCGCUUUUCGGUCCGUCAGUAAAUAUAAAAAGUGCACAACAAAAUUCUUCUUUUAAAGAUGAGAACAUUGAUUUAUACACGUAAGAGGGGGGUCUCCUCCUUUUUCUUCAUUGCCAUAUCGAUCUGAACAAUGGGUGAUGGAAGCGUCCACGGAUCCAUUUUUGGUUCGAUGACCGGUAGGACAUUAUCCAUGCUCGCACUCCUCGAAGUUAUUAGUUCUUGCAACCUUACACCCAUCGGUCUUGUACGGGUCCUCAUCCGAGCGUACUCACCUGCCUUAUUUUCGUUGUAUAACACCCGGUGGAGGAAAUGAGAAGGUCUCGCCCAUAUGCUUCCACAAUAGCUCAGCAUGAGUUGAUUUCUCUUUUCACCGGGAGGUAACACACCGGCCUCAACGCAUAGACAAUUGAUAGGGCUUGUUCUAAAGGUUCCAGUUGCAAUCCUUAAGCCUGCAAUAUACACUUUAUCCAAUAAUUUUAACCUGUUUUUCCUAGCCGAGGAAUAGACCAUGCAGCCAUAGUUUAGUUUAGAGAACAACAGUGAUUUAAAUAUCAUCAGCAGAACUUCUCUUGUUGCUCCCCAUUUACAGUUGUUUAACAAUUUCAUUAUAUUCAGGGUUUUCUUGCUUCGGGAUGCUGUGUAAUCUAUGUGCAGUUGCCAGCUUAAUUUGGAGACAAAUAACGGCCGAGGUAUUUUAUUGAUUCAACAUACUCCAAAGACUGUCCGUUCAUUGUUAAAAGGGGGGUGUAUGUUCCCUCCUCUGUCUGCAGAAAUGCACGACUUUUGUUUUAGACCUGGAGAAUGUAAACCCAACCAACGUUCGCGGCCUGUGUGACAACCGUAUCUAUUGCCUCUUGUAUUUUCACCCCGAUAUCGUCAACAUCUGUUCCGCUUGGGAGAAUAUUUAGAUUGUCAACGGAUAGUGAUUUAAUGAGAGGUGAUCUUAUUUUGUCGGCUAUAUUAUUUACAGCUAUCCCGAAGAGGGUUACGAAAAGGACCUGGGAGAUUCCAUUUGCUUGAGUAUAUUCUUUCGAUAGAGUUGUUCCUAAUCGUACUCUAAAUUUUCUUUCGUUGAGAAAGUUUUUAAUAAAUUUGAUGAUUUUCCCCCUAAGCCCCCAUUUAUAACAUUUUCUUAUAAUUCCGUUCUCCACGUUGUAUCAUAGGCCUUCUCUAAGUCAAAGAAUACAGCAGUGUUCUCUUUUUAGGAAUGCUCCUUGUACUGCAUCCUCGAGAAGGCCUGCCUGAUCGACAGCUGAGUAGCCCCGUCGGAACCCAGCUUGAUAAGAGCUGGAGUCCUUUGUAUUCCAGGUACCACACCAGCCGCCGAUUUACUAUUCCUUCCAUUAUUUUACCGACACACGAUGUGAGAGAUAUUGGCCGGUAGCUUUCAGGGGCGCUAAGAUCUUUUCCGGCUUUAUGAAUUGGCAUAACGAUAGCGGUUUUCCAAUUAUUCGGGUAUACUCCUGAAGUCC